GCGGCAGGCACUAACACAUGCAAGUCGAACGGUAGCACAGAGAGCUUGCUCUCGGGUGACGAGUGGCGGACGGGUGAGUAAUGUCUGGGAAACUGCCUGAUGGAGGGGGAUAACUACUGGAAACGGUAGCUAAUACCGCAUAACGUCGCAAGACCAAAGAGGGGGACCUUCGGGCCUCUUGCCAUCAGAUGUGCCCAGAUGGGAUUAGCUAGUAGGUGGGGUAACGGCUCACCUAGGCGACGAUCCCUAGCUGGUCUGAGAGGAUGACCAGCCACACUGGAACUGAGACACGGUCCAGACUCCUACGGGAGGCAGCAGUGGGGAAUAUUGCACAAUGGGCGCAAGCCUGAUGCAGCCAUGCCGCGUGUAUGAAGAAGGCCUUCGGGUUGUAAAGUACUUUCAGCGGGGAGGAAGGUGUUGUGGUUAAUAACCACAGCAAUUGACGUUACCCGCAGAAGAAGCACCGGCUAACUCCGUGCCAGCAGCCGCGGUAAUACGGAGGGUGCAAGCGUUAAUCGGAAUUACUGGGCGUAAAGCGCACGCAGGCGGUCUGUCAAGUCGGAUGUGAAAUCCCCGGGCUCAACCUGGGAACUGCAUUCGAAACUGGCAGGCUAGAGUCUUGUAGAGGGGGGUAGAAUUCCAGGUGUAGCGGUGAAAUGCGUAGAGAUCUGGAGGAAUACCGGUGGCGAAGGCGGCCCCCUGGACAAAGACUGACGCUCAGGUGCGAAAGCGUGGGGAGCAAACAGGAUUAGAUACCAUGGAUCAGUCCACGCCGUAAACGAUGUCGACUUGGAGGUUGUGCCCUUGAGGUCGUGGUCUUCCGGAGCUCACGCGUUAAGUCGACCGCCUGGGGAGUA
rnacentral:rRNA from 1 species